CAAUAACACAGCCACAAAUCCGAGCGCUAGUAAUGCCCCCAACACAAGAAAGGGUCCUAUGUUUUAUGGGACACAUUGGUAAUAUUUGGACAAAAUCAGUUGCGCACAUGUCAUUUCAAUAAAGAGAAAAUAAAAAUUAAAAAAAUAAGAAGAAAAAGUUGGUAGAGAGAGGAAGUGAGUCGAGACACGUUUUAGCCUCCUUCUUUGCCAUUUCUCGAUGCCUCCUCCCCUCUCUCUAUCUCUCCUCUGUUAAGUAGAGAGAGAGGGAGAUCAGAGAGAGAAAAACCAGAGCUAGGAGAAGCUUAUAUAUUUCCUCUUUUAGACUUUCUCUACUCUCUCUCUCUCUUCCCUUCACUCACUUUGUUAUUCUAUUUUUCUCUGCUUCUUUUCUCUAAGGAGGGAGAGUGUUUGUAGAACGCGAAAGACACUGUCUUUCCCACGUUUCUUCCGCCAUGAUCUCCUUGAAAAGCAGUUUCCUGAGUAACACGGGCAUCUCAGGCUCGUGUAGCCCUUUCGCGGGGAAGCAGAGAGGACUAGUUCGUACAGCUCCACCUUCACUAAAAGUACAGGCACUGAAUCCAAAUAGGGAACGAAACGGCAGCGUCUUGAUGGAGAGCACACUGCAGGAAAUGAGAGAUGGAGCCUCUGUGCUUGACUUGGAACCCAAAUCCACCGUUGCUGGUGGCGUCCGCGAUGUUUACGGUGAGGAUACUGCCACUGAGGAUCAGCUUGUCACGCCUUGGUCCCUUUCGGUUGCUAGUGGAUAUUCUUUGUUGCGAGAUCCACACCACAACAAAGGACUUGCCUUCAAUGAUAAAGAAAGAGAUGCCCACUACUUGCGUGGCCUUCUCCCCCCAGCUGUGGUUUCUCAGGAGGUUCAGGUGAAGAAACUGAUGCACAUUAUUCGCCAGUAUCAACUUCCAUUGCAAAAGUACAUGGCUAUGAUGGAUCUUCAGGAAAGAAAUGAAAAACUGUUUUACAAGCUUCUCAUUGACAAUGUUGAGGAGAUGCUCCCUAUCGUUUACACUCCAACUGUUGGUGAGGCGUGCCAGAAAUAUGGAAGUAUCUUCGGUCGUCCUCAGGGUCUUUACAUCAGUUUGAAAGAAAAGGGUAGAAUUCUUGAGGUGCUGAGGAACUGGCCUGAGAAGAAUAUUCAAGUCAUUGUUGUGACUGAUGGUGAGCGUAUUCUGGGCCUUGGGGACCUUGGAUGUCAGGGUAUGGGGAUACCUGUUGGAAAACUCUCUUUAUAUACUGCACUUGGUGGAGUCCGUCCUUCAGCUGUAAGUAUUGGCAUAACAAUACUUUUUUAUUUUCUCCUUAUUUUUAUUGUUUUGUGGCUCAUACCUGAGCCAAAAUUCUUAUAACUCAAUUUUGCUGUUAUAUUUUACCUCAUUUAGAAUUCUACUGAAGCCUGUGAAUGUUUGAGUCUAGCUUCUUAAUCUAAGCCAUUUCUGGCAGAAAUUAGUGGUUUCCAGAGUGAUGCCAUAGUUUUCUACGAUUGGAGGAUGAUGUUUUAGUGCUUUACUGUGUUUUCUUUGUUUAUUUGAUGAUGGCAAUGCGCCAAUGCCUAUAUUAUCUGCAAUAUCUAUGUCAAUAUUUUAGGGGAUGUGGCAAAUCUUGACAAGUUUUGAAUUUGGUCAUCAUUUCCCUUAUCAUUAUCAAAAACAAUAUCAAUUAUGUCAAUUAUUGUAGUGCCUGCCUGUAACAAUUGACGUGGGAACCAACAAUGAGAAGCUGCUAAACGAUGAAUUCUACAUAGGGCUCAGACAAAGAAGAGCUACUGGACAGGAAUAUUCUGAAUUGCUACAUGAAUUCAUGAGUGCAGUCAAGCAGAAUUAUGGUGAGAGAGUCCUCAUUCAGUUUGAAGACUUCGCAAACCACAAUGCAUUUGAUCUGCUUGCAAAAUAUGGUACUACUCAUCUUGUUUUCAAUGAUGAUAUUCAGGGCACAGCAUCUGUUGUCCUUGCAGGGCUUGUUGCAGCACUUAAUUUAGUUGGAGGAACUUUAGCUGACCACAGAUUUUUAUUUCUUGGUGCUGGAGAGGUGAGUAGAUACUUAUAUUGAUAAUGCUUAAUUUGCUAUUUAUUAAGGGAAGGGAGAAUCCUAAAUCAAAAUGUGGAUUUAUGGAAGUUUGUGAAUAUGUAAGCUGAUAAAGUGAAAAUAAUAAAUUGCUUGCCUCAAUUUAUACCAGCAUAUGUAUUUUUUAGGGUUCUUAUCAUGUACCUAACUGCUUCCUGACCAUGACUGCAUCAUUAACACCACCAUCCAUUUUCAAAAUUUCUUUUUCUGCUACGUAGUUGUUAUGUCUCACUUCGUUGCUGAUAACAGGCUGGCACUGGAAUUGCAGAACUCAUAGCCCUUGAGAUGUCCAAACAGACAAACAUGCCAGUGGAAGAAACUCGCAAGAAGAUUUGGCUUGUGGAUUCAAAGGGGUUGAUUGUUAGUUCCCGUAAGGAAUCACUCCAACAUUUCAAGAAGCCCUGGGCUCACGAGCAUGAACCUAUUAAUAAUCUCUUAGAUGCUGUCAAGGCAAUUAAACCAACAGUUUUGAUUGGAUCAUCUGGAGUGGGAAGAACAUUUACAAAGGAAGUGGUUGAAGCCAUGGCUUCC
rnacentral:misc_RNA from 1 species